UAAGCGGGCUGAGUCGUCCAUGGUUGCAGAGCUAGCUAGUAGCUGGGCACACGGUGCACAAGCUGCCAUUCGCUACUCGCUGGGGGAGGGGCAGGAGUAGACUGCGAAAGUGGCACAAAGGUCGGGUCCCAAGGUCUGUAGGCGACCUGCGCCCGCGAUCCGGAAGCGGGGGCGCACCUCACCGAGCCCAGACCCUCCCCGAGGCCGGCGGAUCCCGCAGCGUGCGGACAGGGGCGGGGACUAAACCCGAGGGCGUGAGGGCGGGAUCGGACUCGGGAGAUGGCGGCGGCAGCUGUGAGUGGUGCUAAGCGGCGCCUGCGGGCCGAGCUGAAGCAGCGUCUGCGGGCGAUGAGCGCCGAGGAACGGCUACGCCAGUCUCGCCUCUUGACUCAGAAGGUGAUUGCCCACAGUCAGUAUCAAAAAUCCAAAAGGAUUUCCAUCUUUCUGAGCAUGCAAGAUGAAAUUGAGACAGAAGAGAUCAUCAGGGACAUUUUCCAACAAGGCAAAACCUGCUUUAUCCCACGGUACCAGUUCAAUAGCAAUCACAUGGAUAUGGUGAAAUUAGCAUCACCUGAGGAAAUUUUGUCACUUCCCAAAACAUCCUGGAAUAUUCAUCAGCCUGGUGAGGAGGAGGUUCGGGAGGAGGCCUUGUCAACAGGGGGACUUGAUCUCAUCCUCAUGCCAGGUCUUGGGUUUGAUAAGCAUGGCAACCGGUUGGGGAGGGGCAAGGGCUACUAUGACACCUACCUGAAGCGCUGUCUGCAGCACCAGGAAGUGAAGCCCUACACCCUGGCCUUGGCUUUCAAAGAACAAAUUUGUGUCCAGGUCCCAGUGGACGAAAAUGACAUGAAGGUGGAUGAAGUCCUUUAUGAAGACUCUUCAGCAUCUUAAGUCCUGAUGACUGCAGCCAAAUAAUCAGUGUUUUGUAUGGAAAAUGUGUAUUUUCCGUUGUCAAAAAUUAGUUGAAAUUGCUCUCUAAUGUGAAUAUGGACUGCAUUGUUUUUAAUAUAAUUAUAAAAUACCUAACAUAAAACUAUCUUUAAAAGUCAAUAGAAGUGUAAAUAGUAGAACAUUAAUUAAAAUGGAGGCAAUCACUAUAUGAUUUUCAUGUUAACUUCCUGGUAUUAACGUGACAAGUUGAUCUUUCUGUUUUGAAAUUUAAGUUAAAUAUUUAUGAAGAACUGGGCUCUAACUCGGAGUGUGAGAGAAGGUAAACUUAUCGGAUUUGGACACUAUUUCAUUAAGUCCUGUCAUAUGCCUGUUCAGUCUCUGGCAAGUGUGUGAAGACUCAGCAAUUAUUAGUUGAUUUGUUGGUGUUUGCUUUGCGUACAUAGUUCCCCAAGAAUGUUAUACCACUUCAUCAUGACUUCGUUUACUCACCCUGAAAUUUUAUGUCUGACACUUUAUAGCUUUUGGUGGUUAAUUGACUGAAAUGUUUUUAUGAUUUAAAUACUUUAAUUCCAGUGUUUGGUUCCCAUCUCUGCUGUUCUGUAUGUCAGUUACUUAUGAGUUUGAGAUCUGCUUUCCUGUAAGUUAGAAAUUAUUUUUGUUUAUUUGUGGUUUCUGCUUUGGAAAUGAAAUCUGCUUUGGGCUGAAAGUUGGCAGAUGGCAUCACAGCUAGAGAGUGGUAAUUUUGUGGGGGAAGAUUUAGUUAUAACCAGAUAUGCAGGAGUCUUCCUCGAUGCUGCUCUCUCGCUCAAACCCCAUGUCUAGCCUGUCACCAGGUCCUGUUGAUUUUACCUCUGAAAAACCUCUUACCUCUGUUCUCUCCUCUCCGUCUUCCUGUCAUUCCUUUUACCAAGGAUCUUAGCAUUUCUAAGCUGAACUGGGCAAGAGCCUCAUCCCUGGCUUCCCUGCCCUCAGUCUGGACCUCUCCAAUUAACUUCUCAAACUACAGUCAAAGUGGUCUUAUAAAACAUGAAGCUGAUUGUAAAGCACCCUGAUUGGAAUCUUUCAGUAGCUGUUCAGAGCCUCCUGGGUAAUGGUGACAUGCCUUCUCUUGUGUAAAGUCCCUUAAGCGAGGUCUGCCAUCUGUCUUUUUCUGGCCUCUUCUCUCCCCACUCCCGUAUUCUUCUGCACCACUUAUACAAGCGUACGCAUAGUUUCUUGAGCAUUGCGGGCUGCUUCUGCUCUUUGCACCUUGUAAGCAUGCUUUUUCCUCUGAUUGCAAUGCCGUCUCCUCUCUUGUUCAUCUGGAAAACUCCUGUUUAUCCUUCAAGACUCCGCUCCAGUGCCGUGUCUUCUGUAAAGUCUUCCUCUCCGUUGCCAAGCAGAGUCAGUGUUCCUUCACUUGUUUGAAUAGCCCUGGCCAUUGUCCUCUUUGUUAUAUGGUCCUGCAUAUCAAUUAUUGAUUAUCAUGUCUGUCGCCUUCACCAGACUGUGAGCUCCCAAAGAGCAGGGAUAAUUUUUAUAUUUCUAACGCUUAGUAGACACCGAGACAUAGAGUGGGUGUUUGAAAUUUUUUUUGAAUGAGUUAAUUGAAUACAUUCAGAAGUGUUUCUUUGAAGCACAAAUCCAAAUUCUUUGGAUAAUAGCAUAUGAUUUGAUGUUUUAUGCACAAAAGCAAAAACACUUAAAAAAUGUCACUCGUGCUAAAAUUAAACUUUCACAAUAUAAUAUGAGCAGUGAGAAAUGGCAGGGAAACAGGAUGUCUGCAAGUUAUAAAAUUGUAUGACUGUACAGGUUAGAAAUGUUGUUAAGGGUUACUUCAACCAUAAGGUUAAGGUGAAUGUUGGUAUAGCUGGCAUGACUCUUGGUCUGAAAUGGUUAAACAGGAGAAUUCCUGAGCUGCUGCAGGUUGGGAAACUGAAGCACCAUUGAAACCGAUCUGUUAUUUUACCAAAGGAGAGCAUUUAAAAAUCACUCCCCAGCUCCUCAAGUGCAGACAGAAUACAGUCAACUGGCAAGAAGACCCAGGGUGCUGAGACUGAAGAAAGUCAGAGGGCUACAAGGUCUCUCACCUGGAAAGAAGGCCAUUUCCUAAUGACCAGUAGUGAGCAGUGGUCAUUGUGCAGAGGGUAUUGGAAAAGGAGAUAAAGCCCUAAUGAUGCAGGUGAUGAUGAUACUGUAACUCUAAUUGGGUCAUAAGCAGAGGCUGAGGACAAGGCCUUGACCCCAGGAAGCCAGCCAGCAUCAUGAGGGUCUCAAGUGAGGGGAUUAUUCAGGUAGACGAGAAAUGGCAACUAGAUCUGAACAGAAACAAUUCUUAGUAUUGGGGAAUUGGAAAUAUAUUGGAGCCCCAAGAUAUGUCAAUGAUUGCUGCCUAUUCUAAAGAACUGUGUAGAAAGUAAACUAUGUGAAGUUCUAGUCCAUCUAACAGAUAUCAAUAAGAACAGUGCACAUUUAAUCACAAAGUCCUACUCGGAGAUCAAUAAAUAUGUCUAGGCAUGGGUGGCUUGAUGUAGAAGCUCAGUUCCUGGUCCCUGUUCUUUUCUCUUUCAGAGAUCAUUGAGAUUGAGUUAAUCACAUUGCAAUUUAUUCAUAUGUUUACCUGCUUAUUUCUUCCACUUGGCUGUGACCUCCUCAAAGGCAAAGUCUCUGCCAAAUUUAUGGUUUACUCCGUUAUCUACCAGAGUCCCUAGAACAAAAUAAAUAGCCACUAAGUUCUUAAUGAAGGAAUGAACCAGUGUGCUUGUUGCCCUGUGUUUUGCACUUGCUGGUUUAUAUGUUGGUUGCUAUUUGCUGCUGAGAUUCUGUGUCCUUUCAGCAUUGUCUCAGGAUUGGAUUAUUCUAGAAUAGGUGUUCCAUUACUGCAGUUGCAUUGCCUUCCUUGGCCAGUCCGUAUGUGUGUGUUGCAUUAUCUGUGCUACCUGGCCUUGUUGAUGCUUUCCUUCUUUGCAUCUUUGUGGUCAUCUUCCCGCCUUUGCCCAGGCAGUCACAGUCCCUCUGCCCUUUAAGGGAAGUCUCUAAUCCCUGUGAGCACCCACCCCAAAUAGAUGUUUGUUUAUAUCUUUAAAAAUAAGUAAACUUCUUUCUAAAUAAUAAUAUCUUAUACACAUUUGAAAAUAUACACAAAAAGGAAAAGGAUGAGGUAAUUGAAACAAUGUAUUUUCUUUUCUUUUUUUGAGUUAGACCAACAGUUUUAUUGAAAGAUGAGAACAGAGCCACUUCCCCCGAGCAUCCUGGCAGCGUUGGCCUCAGCUUCUGCUGAUUGUGAAGGCUUCACACUUUUCAUUGUGCAUGUGAAGAGCAAGAUUCAUCAUUAAUCAUGGUGAGCACAUAUCCCUACUUCAAAAUAUUUUUGUGAUAACUUCAAAUUUUUUAUGCUCGUUCUUGGCAAAUCUUACUGUAUUUUCCUUGUUUUAUGGCUGAUGAAUAGCUGUUACCAGGAACAAAAGUAUCAGCUAUUGUUGCUCACUUGUGCUUGUAUUAUUAGAAUUAUCUUUGCUUGGCUGUUUCUUUGCAAGAAUCUUUUUAAGCCACUUAUCCAUUUUGGGGGGUUGGUUUAGUAAAAACUACAUAGUAUAAUAGGUAAAUCCAUGUGCCUCGAAAUGUAUAAAAACCACAGUACGUCUCAAUAUGCUGAAAGCAGCUAAACACACUCUCCCACAUUAUCCAACAGCUAUUUUGCCCCAGCACAGGUUCGUACUGACCUGUCAUGGGACCUUCUGAUGUGCAGAUGGAGUAAGGGGCGGUGUCAAUCUUUAUUUUAACUUUUAGCAAGACUUAAUUUCUUAUCUUUUAAAGAUAAAAAGUAAAUAUAAAUAGAGAUUUUAGUUUCUUCUUCCCAAACCCCAGUGUAUCACCUUGCCUUCUCCCUGGGGUGUGUUACCUGUUUGGAAACCACUGCUCUAAGGACUUGUAGUCCUAGCUGGAUGGGUAGAGGGUUAGGUUCACUGGUCCCUUCACUAAGAGACUGUGCCUGAGCUGCAGGGCCACUGACUUCAUCAACACCUCCUCUCCUUUGGCUCCUACAGACCAUGUAUAUGUGUCCAGCCUCUUGCUGGUGCUGGCCUCCCUGUGGUCCCUUCAUCUUUCUGGUCGCCCGUGUCCCAACCAGUCUCUAGUUUCCUAGUCUUAUGUCUGAGUGCUCUGGUUGGGUCUGUUAUGUUGCCCACAAUAUUUGAAUAGAAGGAAUAACUUCUUUACGUAGCUUAAAGAACCCUAUCACCUAGGAAAUAACAGAUCCCUUUCUUUUAGCACUUUUCCUUUCAGAUUUCCUCUAGCUAACCAGGAUCCACCCUUUAGGUACAUCAAAGGAUUUCUGGGCUACAUGAAAGACUAGAAAAACUUUUUAAAUCUCCCAUUUCUCCUCUUUGUAUUUUAUCCCUCUUCCUACCACCAGUUGUAGCUGUUUUUCGCUUUGAUAUUUGUGGCUUGUUGUGACAACAGACCACAUGAAUACCAAUGAACAAGACAUCUGAAGGAAAAUCCAUUGUGUUUCAUUGUUUUGAUUGUCAUGUGUCCUGUGAAUAUCUUGUUUGUACUUUUAGUCUUUAAAUGAUAUAUUUUAAAAGUAUACUUUCAAAGCAAACAGCUGUUUCAAUGGCGAGUCAGAUCCCAAAGAUUUCACUACUGUAAAUGGUGAACAUUUCGUUUAUCGCUGAGAGAGAAUAUCUUCAGGAUUUACAUGCAAAAAGUGUUUGUUAUUUCCUCCCAAGGUUAGAGAUAAAGAAUACUAUAUUAUUCUGAAGAUCUGGGUUGGGAUACUUGUGGAUGUUGAUGCUAUAGAAUAGAUACAUUGCUGUAAGUCCUAAAUUUUUCUUAUUCCUCCAAUCUUAGGAUAAGAUAAGAUAGCAAGUGCUACUCCCUGUAAUUAUACUUAAUAUAAGAACCAAAGGACCAUGGAGAUGAGUUAUCUGCGUGGCCAUCUUCUCUAGACCAUCUGCUAUACUUCUUUGCAUUAUUGUCAUAAACUAUUACUUAUGUCACUUGCUUGCAUAACAGCUUUUGAUGGUUCUGUGUUGCCCGAAGAAUAAGGUGCAAACCCUUAGCUUCCAUAUAGGACCCUUUCCAACUUGGCUACAACCUCCCUUUAUAUUUCUGUUUCUUUCUCUCAAGACACACACACACACACACACACACACACACACACUCCUCUUACUCCUUCCAGACCAAUAAUGCUAUUUCUAUCAGAAUUCAGUAUUCUAGGGAAGAACUAGAUUAUACAAUUCAGUGUUAGAAUUAGUCUAUAACUAGAGAGGUGGGUUAACAGAUUAGUGGGUGGUUCAGGAAUAGGAGAUCUUAAUGAGGCACUAAAAUGUUCUGGAAAGUGAGUAUCAACAUACAGAUCACCUGGGGAUCUUUUUAGAAUCCAGAUUCUGAUUCUAGAUUCUGAUUCUGGUCUAGAGUGGGACCUGACAAUUCUGCAUUUCUAACAAAAUUCCAGGUGAUGAUGCUGCUGAUGCUGUUGCUUUGCUGCGCACUUUGAGUAGCAACAUUCUAAGCUAUGUUGUCCAAUGUGAUAGCCCUAGUCUCAUGUGACUAUUUAAAUUUAAAUUGAUUAAAAUUAAAUAAAAUUUAAAAUUCACCUGCUUGGUCACAAUAGUUAACACUUUAAGUGCUUGCUGAAUUGGAUAGCCCAGAGGUAAAACAUUUCCGUUAUCACAGAAAGUUCUCUUGGAAAGCACUGUUUCCUAGAGCACUAUUUUUCAAGCUGUUUUCUAUGGACCACCUACUAAAUCAGACUCUCUGGGGGUAGGGAACUGGAAAUUUGCAUUUUAAACAAAUACCCCAGAGGGUUCUUAUGCAUGCUAAAGUUAUAGGAACACUUCUAUAGGGAUCUAAAAUCUGACAUACAGAAAUAAAGCUAAUAUGGGAAUAUGCAAAUAUCAGAGACAGACAUGGGGCAGUUCAGCUUAAAUUGGAAUUCCCUUCUUGCCAGCCAUUAAAAUCAUAUCCAGUUGUCUGCAGGUGCAAUAGGUUUCACCUGGUGGAACUGACCUCUGAUACCAAAACUACAUAGGGUAGAAGAGGGAUAGGCCCUUAAGCCAGGAGCAUUCUGCAGGGAUACAGCGAGUCCCAGAUGUGUCCUCUGGGCCCAUAUGUUUUCUGGUUUACCAGGUGCUAACAUCUGGUGAGGAACAGAGGCUGCAUUCAUUUUCAGUUAUGACUCUGAAACCUAGGUAAGAACAAUCAGGAAAUAGCACUAUUCUUUUUCUUUAGAUAUUUUGGAUCUCCCCUUCCUGUUCAGGAAUAUGUAUUGGGCAGAUUCUCUAGUUUUUUGGCCACCUUUCAGAUAUAAAAACUUACAUUUUCAAAAAGUUCAGUAUCAAUCUUACAUCAAAAUUUCACUCUGUCAUCCAACUCUAUGCUUGUUUCUGUCUUCCUUGCCCCCUUGUCUCCCAGGUUGGAAUUGGGAAGAGGUCUUGGUGUAUUUCACUUUCCUUGCCCCACAUCCUUUCUUCUGGCAAAUUCUAUAAUUAAGGAAAAGGGCAAAGCUGGCCUGAGUUGGUGCUGUAACGUGAGCAUCAGUACCUUCUACAUGCCAAAUGCCCAGACACUGGCUGUUUUUCAUAGAGGUGCUUUGUGGGUUUUUUGAAAGAGCCUCUGCUGGGACUGUAUGCACUGUAUGACCCUCCAGCUGACCCCUGACAGCCUCUGCUCAGCUUUUGUCCUCCUGAAUCUUAGAGAAGGAAGGAAAAUGAUGCAGUAUUCUCCAUACCUACAAAUUUCCUUACUUCAAUCUCUUGUCUUUUCUAAAGCAGCCUGGAGAUGAAUGAUGAUGGUGGCUAGUUGAAGAACCAUGUUGGGUAUCUGUUGGUAAAUCCUGCAUGGAUGCAUGUGUUGGACACCUCCUGUGCUGCACCUACACCCUCUCAGACUACUCUUUUCCUCCAGCCAUUGCUAUGGCACACUGGCUGCAUGCAGGUGAAGGCAACAUCUCUCCUCAUCUGCGAGACUUUCCACCCUGGAAGGUCAUGUCUGGGUAAGACCCUUGCAAGAACCCUCUCAGUCAUCUGGUGUGUUUGCAAACCUGGAAGUACGAGGGUAUUAACACCCCAAGGGGCAGCGCUCGACCAGUUCAGCUCAGGAGCCAAUAGCUAGGUUCUCUCCUCUUUCAACCUUUGGGAAGACAAUUCUGAGGUGUAUUCUACAUUGCUCCUCAGAGGAUCACCAAGCUAGUAGCAUUGAACCUCAGUGCCCAUGGUUGUGAUCAGCCCUAUAAUUUCCCCUUGGAUUAGCUUUCCCUCCUCCAUUUCCCUCUUCCCAGUCCUCCACUCCUGUUUCUUGGGUCGCUUCUUGAAGUACACUUUUCUGCAUGCAAUUCCUUGUCGUAGGGUCUGCUUUUCAGGGGACCCAUGCUAAAUCAUCAUGUCUGUCACUUCUUUUUAGAAUGUGGGGUAUCUGUCAUCUAUUGUGCCUGCUUUGGUGACUGCAAAAACUCCAGACAAAAGGAGAAAGUUCCAUCUAACAUCCUUUUACACAUGGUUAUUGUAAAUGGAAUCUAAGAGGCACAGACUGAUUGCCAAAGCAGUACUCCACAGUGGUUAGCAUGGCAUUCCUGUUGAUAUGAGUUCUUGUUCUUGCUCUGGUUUUUGAAUGGGGGUGAUGUAUGGUGGACAAAUAGACCUUGAUUUAGAUGUUGUUGAAGAAGGCUUUCCAAAAGCAGGGAGGUAAAUCAAAGUCUGUUGUCUGAGAUUACUUUGUGUCUGAGUACAUCAGCUGUGGUUCUUUGCUUCAAGCAAAGACUGAACUUAAGAAAAAAACUAUAUUGGAAGCAGCAGUGGGUGCUGUGAUGUGCCACCUGAUCCCCCUUUUGGACUGAGGCAUGUUUUCCUCCAGCUGCUAGGAUGUUGGCUGCUGGCAGCUCAGAGCUGAGGCCCUCCCCUGGAAUUGCCCUUGGCUGAAGGGAGUCAUCUUUCCCAAGGUUACGGCCCCUUUUUGGUGGCAGCCUACACCCAAUGCCUGGUCAUUGUGGAGUUACAAAGGCCUGAUCCCCUGGUUUCAAGACAGGCCACCUCUGAAGGGCCAUCCCAGCCACAUCUCCCAUGGGACUGGCUGAGACCUGUGUGCAAUGCACAACUGCAUUUCAGUUCCAAUUCUCUCUCUGCCCAUCCUGUUUAUUUCCCUCCCCUAAAAGCAUGUUCCUGAGAGCACACCUCAAUAAACUUUCUGCACAUGAA